rnacentral:misc_RNA from 1 species
GUUGAACUGAUUUACCAAAAAUUACCGUCGUCGCCCUUCCCUGCGAUUUCAUCACUGCCCUCCUUCUUCGGUUGCAGACUAGGCAGAAACCCUAAUCGCCAUGGGAGAUAAUCGUCAGUCUUUUGUACAUCAUGCUCUUGGUGGCGGCUCAGUGGCGGAUGUGCUGUUGUGGAGGAGAUGGUGUGCUAGUGUUACUCUGCUAGUCAGUUCCACUGCGCUUUGGAUUUUGUUUGAGCGAGCUGGAUAUAAUGUCCUUUCCUUUGUUGCCAAUGUGAUGUUGCUUCUAGUUGUGAUUCUCUUCUUCUGGGCUAAAUCUGCCUCACUUCUUAACAGGCCUUUACCUCCUAUCCCUGAUUUGGAGGUUCAUGAGGAAUCUGUGGUAAAGGCUGCUGACAUGAUGCGUGUUUGGAUCAAUCAUGUCCUGAUGAUUGCCCAUGAUAUUGCUAUUGGUGGGAAUUUAAAACUAUUUGUUAAGGUUUCUCUUGUCUUGUGGCUUAUAUCUUAUGUUGGUAGUUUCUUCAACCUCCUCACUUUCAUCUACAUGGGAAUUCUUUUUAGUUUGUCUGUGCCUCUGCUGUACGACAAGUAUCAAAAUCAAAUUGAUGACAAGCUUAUUAUAGCACAAAA